rnacentral:rRNA from 1 species
CCUACGGGUGGCAGCAGUGAGGAAUAUUGGUCAAUGGCCGGAAGGCUGAACCAGCCAAGCCGCGUGAGGGAGGAAGGCGCAGAGCGUCGCAGACCUCUUUUGCCGGGGGACAAAAGGCCGGACUCGUCCGGUCCUGAGGGUACCCGGAGAAAAAGCAUCGGCUAACUCCGUUCCAGCAGCCGCGGUAAUACGGGGGAUGCGAGCGGUAGCCGGAUUAAUUGGGUUUAAAGGGUGCGCAGGCGGGCCUUUAAGCUGGCGGUGAAAUGGCGGGGCUAAACCCCGCCCAGCCGUCGGUACUGGGGGCCUUGAGUGCGGGGGAGGCAUGCGGAAUGCGCGGUGUAGCGGUGAAAUGCAUAGAUAUGGCGCAGAACCCCGAUUGCGAAGGCAACGUGCCGUGCCGCCACUGACGCUGAGGCACGAAAGCGCGGGGAUCGAACAGGAUUAGAUACCCUAGUAGUC